rnacentral:rRNA from 1 species
UACGGGGGGGGUAAGCGUUGUUCGGAAUUACUGGGCGUAAAGGGCUCGUAGGCGGCCAACUAAGUCAGACGUGAAAUCCCUCAGCUUAACUGGGGAACUGCGUCUGAUACUGGAUGGCUUGGAUUCGGGAGAGGAAUGCGGAAUUCCAGGUGUAGCGGUGAAAUUCGUAGAUAUCAAGCGGAACACCGGUGGCGAAGGCGGCCUUCUGGACAGUGACUGACGCUGAGACGCGAAAGCGUGGGGAGCAAACAGG